AAUGCCUGGACUGAGAAAAGUUGGGGACCCUGCUCUGGAUGGGUCAGCUGACACCACCUAGACCAGUAAUCUGGCUCAACCAUUUCUGUCAUGCCACCCAGGAACAGAAGACAUCAAGAAAACCUCACUUUGACCCCUUAUGAUUCCAUCUGCAACCUGACCAAUCAGCAUUCCCUACUUCCCAAUACCCUACCCACCAUAUUAUCAUUUUUUCUUUUUUUUUUUUUUUUUGAGACUGAGUUUCACUCUUGUUGGCCAGGCUGGAGUGCAAUGGUGCAAUGUCAGCUUACUUCAACUUCCGCCUCCUGGAUUCAAGCGAUUCUCCUGCCUCAGCCUCCUGAGUAGGUGAGAUUACAGGUGCUCACCACCACGCCUGGCUACUUUUUUGUGUUUUUAGUAGAGAGGGGGUUUCACCAUGUUGGCCAGGCUGUUCUUGAACUCCUGACCUUAGGUGAUCCACCUGCCUCAGCCUCCCAAAGUGCUGGGAUUACAGGCAUGAGCCACUAUGCCCGGCCCAGAUUAUUUUUAAUAUCUCUGAUCCCCGAA
rnacentral:lncRNA from 1 species